GGGAUGAGCUCAAAUUUAAAAUCUGGCUGGUUUACUAGUCCGAAUUGUAGUUUAUAGAAGCGUUUUCGGUGGCAGCCUGGGUAUAAAUCCUUUGGAAUAGGGUAUCAUAGAGGGUGAGAAUCCCGUCUUUGACUCAGUGCAUGCUACUAUGUGAUACGUUUUCAAAGAGUCGAGUUGUUUGGGAAUGCAGCUCAAAAUGGGAGGUAAAUUUCUUCUAAAGCUAAAUACCGGCGAGAGACCGAUAGCGAACAAGUACCGUGAGGGAAAGAUGAAAAGAACUUUGAAAAGAGAGUUAAACAGUGCGUGAAAUUGUUGAAAGGGAAACGUUUGACACCAGUUAUGCGGGUGGAAAAUCAAUCUUUUGCAAUGGCAAGCUGUGGGCGUUCAGACCGCAAGGCUGGCGUUUGCUUCAUUGUUGUUGUAAGUGAUGCACUUUUUCAUUUGCAGGUCAACAUCAGUUUGUUUCGCUGGACAAAACCCCAAGGGAAGGUGGCAGCUUAGGCUGUGUUAUAGCCCUGGGGCGAUACAGUGGAAUGGACUGAGGUUUUCGCAGCGUGUGCUUUCGGGCAAGGUCGACUGGGUGCUAUGGGAUCGUUUGGCGUACAAUGCAUGCAUUUUGCGCUUCGUCUUUUUCAUACUCGCUCAAA
rnacentral:rRNA from 1 species